ACGGGGCGCAGCAGGCGCGAAAACUUUACAAUGCGGGAAACCGUGAUAAGGGAACUCCGAGUGCCCGUAAAAUCGGGCUGUCCAUCUGUGUAAAUAACAGGUGAAGAAAGGGCCGGGCAAGACCGGUGCCAGCCGCCGCGGUAAUACCGGCGGCUCGAGUGGUGGCCACUAUUACUGGGCUUAAAGCGUUCGUAGCUGGUCUGUUAAGUCUCUGGGGAAAUCUACUGGCUUAACCAAUAGGCGUCUCAGGGAUACUGGCAGACUAGGGACCGGGAGAGGUGAGAGGUACUCCAGGGGUAGGAGUGAAAUCCUGUAAUCCUUGGGGGACCACCUGUGGCGAAGGCGUCUCACCAGAACGGCUCCGACAGUGAGGGACGAAAGCUGGGGGAGCAAACCGGAUUAGAUACCCGGGUAGUCCCAGCUGUAAACGAUGCGCGUUAGGUGUAUCGGUGACCACGAGUCACCGAGGUGCCGAAGAGAAAUCGUGAGACGUGCCGCCUGGGAAGUACGGUCGCAAGGCUGAAACUUAAAGGAAUUGGCGGGGGAGCAC
rnacentral:rRNA from 1 species